CUGGGCAUUCUAUAGAAUGUCUAACAGAAAUUCUAUAGACAUUAUCCUUUAUCUGCUGAAAGUUCUAUAGAUUGUUCCAUGGAAUAAAAUUCUAUAAAAUGGCAGCAGCGCUAUCACCAUAGCAUUGAUUAAUCUCAUUAAGUUGAUUCACCAGACUUGAGCUUGUUUUUUGAACAAUGCAGGAUGUCUCCCUCAAUUAUGAAAAUGUUAAUUUUGUAUCAUUUAAAAUUGUGAGGUGUCAUUUCAAGGCGGACACCCAGAACUUCGGCAGACUUUAUUUUUAAAAGUAUAUUUAUUCCAAUAAAUCAAUUUAUUUAUAUUUUUAGAGUUUUUGAGUUAUCUAUAAGUAAAAAGUGUGAAUAUUUUCGUAACUUACUUUUUUAUGUGAUAAAAUUAAUUUUAUUGGACUUCCAACAUAAAUUGAUUUAGCAAAACUCAGUUCAAAGGUUUAAAUCAGACCUAAAACGUCAGGACCCGCCCACGUACCUGCAUGCAGCUGUGGAAGAACAAGCCCAGACACGUUUCUUCACGGAGCCCAAUAGGAAAACACUUUACCGAACUCAUGUUUAGGGUCUUCUAGGCGCGAUGCGAGACGUCACAAGCGGGCUAACGUUGAGCCAAACAGCAGCUUCGAGGCACGGGCGGAAAUGAGAAGGAGUUUGGCCCCCAGUCAGGUCGCCAAACGGAAGCAAGGGGAGGAUGAUCAUCGAGACGAAAUAUAGUAUAUUAACCACGCGGUUCUCGAGAGAAGAUGAAUGGAGAAAAUUGGGACAGUGAUGAAGAAGUCCAAGUUCCAUGGCCACUCAACAAAGCAGGAGGAAGGAAGCAGUCACAAACCAAAUACGUGGCAAGAAUUC